rnacentral:rRNA from 1 species
UACGUAGGGUGCGAGCGUUGUCCGGAAUUACUGGGCGUAAAGCGUGCGCAGGCGGUCUUGCAAGACAGAUGUGAAAUCCCCGGGCUUAACCUGGGAACUGCAUUUGUGACUGCAAGGCUGGAGUACGGCAGAGGGGGAUGGAAUUCCGCGUGUAGCAGUGAAAUGCGUAGAUAUGCGGAGGAACACCGAUGGCGAAGGCAAUCCCCUGGGCCUGUACUGACGCUCAUGCACGAAAGCGUGGGGAGCAAACAGG